rnacentral:tRNA from 1 species
UGCCCGGUAGCCAAGCGGUAAGGCACAGCGCUCUGGACGCUGCAUGCGUAGGUUCGAAUCCUACCCGGGCAGCCA